AGGAGAUAGCAAAAAGAAAGAAUAGAAACAUUGAAUUCAUACUUUGAUGCCUCAUCGUUAUCAUCAUCAUU
rnacentral:ribozyme from 13 species